AUUGAACGCUGGCGGCAUGCUUUACACAUGCAAGUCGAGCGGCAGCGCGGGGGCAACCCUGGCGGCGAGCGGCGAACGGGUGAGUAAUGCAUCGGAACGUAUCCUCGAGUGGGGGAUAACCCAGCGAAAGUUGGGCUAAUACCGCAUGAGCUCUGAGGAGGAAAGCGGGGGACCUGCGAGGGCCUCGCGCUGGAGGAGCGGCCGAUGUCCGAUUAGCUAGUUGGUGGGGUAAAGGCUUACCAAGGCGACGAUCGGUAGCUGGUCUGAGAGGAUGAUCAGCCACACUGGGACUGAGACACGGCCCAGACUCCUACGGGAGGCAGCAGUGGGGAAUGUUGGACAAUGGGGGCAACCCGGAUCCAGCCAUGCCGCGUGAGUGAAGAAGGCCUUCGGGUUGUAAAGCUCUUUCGGACGGAACGAAAUGGGCGGGACUAAUACUCCUGUCUGAUGACGGUACCGGAAGAAGAAGCACCGGCUAACUACGUG
rnacentral:rRNA from 1 species